AACUCUUUUGAUCAGGGUGGAUUCUGUUGUGAUUUUCAUUCACUGAAACGUUUUAAAAGUGUAACAAAAUAUAAAAUGGAUACAAAAAUGGGAGAUGUCAAU
rnacentral:misc_RNA from 1 species